CGCUGGCGGCGUGCCUAAUACAUGCAAGUCGAGCGGACGAUUCAAAAGCUUGCUUUUGAAUCGUUAGCGGCGGACGGGUGAGUAACACGUGGGCAACCUGCCCUGUAGACGGGGAUAACACCGAGAAAUCGGUGCUAAUACCGGAUAACACGAAAGACCGCAUGGUUUUUCGUUGAAAGGCGGCGCAAGCUGUCGCUACAGGAUGGGCCCGCGGCGCAUUAGCUAGUUGGUGAGGUAACGGCUCACCAAGGCGACGAUGCGUAGCCGACCUGAGAGGGUGAUCGGCCACACUGGGACUGAGACACGGCCCAGACUCCUACGGGAGGCAGCAGUAGGGAAUCUUCCGCAAUGGACGAAAGUCUGACGGAGCAACGCCGCGUGAGCGAAGAAGGCCUUCGGGUCGUAAAGCUCUGUUGUUAGGGAAGAACAAGUACCGCAGUCACUGGUGGUACCUUGACGGUACCUAACGAGAAAGCCACGGCUAACUACGUGCCAGCAGCCGCGGUAAUACGUAGGUGGCAAGCGUUGUCCGGAAUUAUUGGGCGUAAAGCGCGCGCAGGCGGUUCCUUAAGUCUGAUGUGAAAGCCCACGGCUCAACCGUGGAGGGUCAUUGGAAACUGGGGGACUUGAGUGCAGAAGAGGAGAGCGGAAUCCCACGUGUAGCGGUGAAAUGCGUAGAGAUGUGGAGGAACACCAGUGGCGAAGGCGGCUCUCUGGUCUGUAACUGACGCUGAGGCGCGAAAGCGUGGGGAGCAAACAGGAUUAGAUACCCUGGUAGUCCACGCCGUAAACGAUGAGUG
rnacentral:rRNA from 1 species